AUGGAUUAGUGGCGCACGGGUGAGUAACGCAUAGAUGACAUGCCCUUUAGUUUGGGAUAGCCACUAGAAAUGGUGAUUAAUACCAAAUACCACCCUACGGGGGAAAGAUUUAUCGCUAAAGGAUUGGUCUAUGUCCUAUCAGCUUGUUGGCGGGGUAAGAGCCCACCAAGGCAAUGACGGGUAUCCGGCCUGAGAGGGUGAACGGACACACUGGAACUGAGACACGGUCCAGACUCCUACGGGAGGCAGCAGUAGGGAAUAUUGCUCAAUGGGCGCAAGCCUGAAGCAGCAACGCCGCGUGGAGGAUGAAGGUUUUAGGAUUGUAAACUCCUUUUGUCAGAGAAGAUA
rnacentral:rRNA from 1 species